CCUACGGGUGGCAGCAGUGAGGAAUAUUGGUCAAUGGACGAGAGUCUGAACCAGCCAAGUAGCGUGAAGGAUGACUGCCCUAUGGGUUGUAAACUUCUUUUAUAUGGGAAUAAAAUGUUCCACGUGUGGGAUUUUGUAUGUACCAUAUGAAUAAGGAUCGGCUAAAUCCGUGCCAGCAGCCGCGGUAAUACGGAGGAUCCGAGCGUUAUCCGGAUUUAUUGGGUUUAAAGGGAGCGUAGGUGGAUUGUUAAGUCAGUUGUGAAAGUUUGCGGCUCAACCGUAAAAUUGCAGUUGAAACUGGCAGUCUUGAGUACAGUAGAGGUGGGCGGAAUUCGUGGUGUAGCGGUGAAAUGCUUAGAUAUCACGAAGAACUCCGAUUGCGAAGGCAGUUCACUGGACUGCAACUGACACUGAGGCUCGAAAAUGUGGGUAUCAAACAGGAUUAGAUACCCCUGUAGUC
rnacentral:rRNA from 1 species